GAGGUGGCAGAAUGGUCAUGCAAUGGACUGUAAAUCCAUGGUCUGUAGACCAAUGUUGGUUCGAUUCCAACCCUCCCCA